GUAGGCGGUCUGUUAAGCGAAUAGUGAAACCUGGUGGCUCAACCAUCUAGACUAUUAUUCGAACUGGCAGACUAGAGAAUAGUAGAGGUACCUGGAAUUUCUAAUGUAGGGGUAAUAUCCGUAGAUAUUAGAAGGAACACCAAUGGCGUAGGCAGGGUACUGGGCUAUUUCUGACGCUAAUGCACGAAAGCGUGGGGAGCGAACGGGAUUAGAUACCCCGGUAGUCCACGCUGUAAACGAUGGAUGCUAGCAGUGUGCCGUAUCGACCCGGUGCGUUGCGAAGCUAACGCAUUAAGCAUCCCGCCUGAGUAGUACGAUCGCAAGAUUAAAACUCAAAGGAAUUGACGGGGACCCGCACAAGCGGUGGAGCGUGUUGUUUAAUCGGAUGGUAAGCCUAGAACCUUACCAGGGUUUGACAUCCUUGGAAUUUCGCCGAAAGGUGAGAGUGCUUUAUUGAGCCAAGCCGACAGGUGAUGCAUGGCCGUCGUCAGCUCGUGUCGUGAGAUGUUAGGUUAAGUCCUUCAACGAGCGCAACCCUUGUGAAUAGUUGUAUUUUUCUAUUCAGACUGCCCCGGUAACGGGGAGGAAGGAGGGGAUGAUGUCAGGUCAGUAUUUCCCUUACGUCCUGGGCUAGAAACGUAAUACAAUGGCUAGUACAAUGCGCAGCGAANCCGCGAGGUGAAGCAAAUC
rnacentral:rRNA from 1 species